rnacentral:misc_RNA from 1 species
CCCAACUAUCCCUAUUAAUCAUUACGUUGAUCCUAGAAACCAAUAAAAUAGAAUCAAACGUCCUAUUUCGUUAUUCCAUGCUAAUGUAUUCAAGCGUGAGCCUGCUUUAAACACUCUAAUUUUUUCAAAGUAAUAGUCCUGAUUCUUCAAGAUACCAAAUUAAUGACAUCAUGGUUCGUCAGAAGGUAGGAAUUAAUAAUACCAGUAUAUACAAUAGCAUGACCAAUAAAUUAAUCCUGAAAUUCAACUACGAGUUUUUUAACUGCAACAACUUUAAUAUACGCUAUUGGAGCUGGAAUUACUACGGCUGCUGGCACCAGACUUGCCCUCCAA